rnacentral:lncRNA from 1 species
GCGGGGGUCGAUUAAUGUUUCCGCCUUUGGCCAUUAGAUAACAAUUUAUCUAGAUCCCGCUCUGAUACCAAUUGAAAGUUUUGAGGAGCCCAAGGAUCUAUCUAGAUUGUAUCUAUCACCUAGAGGGGGGUGAUUGGUGAAAUAGCCAAAAAACCACAAAUCUCACUACGAUAAAAAUAAAUGCGAAAAAUAAAAAUCACACCGAGAUUUACGUGGGAAAACUCCAACUUGGAGAAAAACCCACGGGACCAACACGCGAAAAAACAAUUCACUAAGAGAAAAGAUUACAAGGUGAUUACCGACUCCACGGACUCAACCUCUCUUAACCUCCUAUGAAUCUCGCGCAAUCCUCCGGGUUGUCCACGCCCUCACGUUCGAAUCCACGAACGCCUCGCACACGUCCGAAUCCACGAACGCAACUCGAAUCCACGAGCCCACGAUCCGAAUCCACGAACCGCCGUCAAACAUGUCGAAUCCACGACGCCAUCGUGAAGAACAUCAUGUGUAUGGUGAUCCUUCGCUUAGAGUAUCGAUGAAAACCAGAGAAGCGAACUCCAAGCAAAGCGGAGAUGAAAUCGACAUAUUGAUAUCAAAAUCCAAAAUCUCGAUUUGACCUAAAAGAGGCUUUUUGUAGAAAAUAGGUUUUAGAUGAAAUCCGAGCCUCUAGGGUUUCUCAAACAUGUAUUUUCGUGAUGCUUGAUUUGUUAGAGAACCCCAAUAGUUUAUUUAUAGACUUUACAAUCAAACGGAGUCGGAUUAGAAAGUUUUCACGAUUUUACACUGUGUACGGGUACGCGAAAUGCUGUCACCGGUUAUACAAUGACGGAACAAAAAUUGUGAAGCCAAAGUUGAUGGCUGUACCGAUACGGGGCAAUUGCUGUACCGGUACACAAUGCAAUUUUUCGGAUUUUGCACCAUUCCGGGUUCCGCAAAGUUCCGAAGCACUUUCUAAUCAACUAAACUUUGAUUAAAUGAUUCUAAUGCCUAUAAUUAAGUAUGAAUCACCAUAACAUGAAUUAAAACUUUACCUUUACGUCGUGAUUCAUAUCGUGAGUUAUUUUCCAACUUCUUCGAAAUCUUGAAUUCUUCAAUCUUCGACGACACGCACCGAUUAUUCAAGACUCCGACUCACUUCACGAAACUUGCCAACACACAAGACUUAACAAAAACCUAAAUAAGAAACAAUUAAAACAAUUAAAGUCAUAUGAUGGAGCUAACACAAACCAAUUCAUCUCCCCAAAACAGCAACAUAAUCAAAAGAAUUCUAUCA